ACACUAAAUACCCUACCUCACAUCUCUAACUCUCUCAGCUGCACAAAGCCUAACCCUCACACUUUGUCUCCAUUAUCUUCCUCUCUCUCUCUCUCGUGCACGAAGCCUAACCUUUCCCUCUCACUCUCUCACUGAACGGCAAGAUCUUGAAAACCAGGCGAUGGGUGGAGUCUCAGAAACUAGGCGAUAAGCGGGGUCUCCUCUCUCUCUCUGGCUGUACCACGGUUCUCCUUUGCUACUCUUUCUUCUUGGGACACUCACAAUGACAUUGCAGAAAUGAAGGACCCAAUCAUUUUUUAAGCGGGGAUUGUUGAAGAUAGGAGCUUUUGCUGCAGCAUUUUUUUAGCAAAAGAAGGAGGAAUCAGCAGCUCAAAAAGGAGGUCAUGUGGCAUCAUUUAUCCAGCUGUAAAGGAGUCUGACGUGGCAGUGUGGAAAAAGAUAUUAAAUCAGCAGUUAUUUUAGUAAGUGGGCCACGUGUGAGAGAAAGAAGGAGGGCAAAAUAGAGAAAUUAAAAGAAGGAAAAAGGAGAGGGUUGUACCCUAGCUAAUUAAGGAAGGAGCAGCCUCCAUUUUUGACAAGACUUGAGCCAGAAGGUUACUGUAGAAAACCAAAGAGAAUAUCAGAUAAAAAAAUGCCAGGAAGAAAUAGAAGAGAGGUUCAAGAAAGGAGUCCAACCAAAGAAACUAAAGCAUCAUUUUGGAUUUGUUUUUCUCUUCUUUCUAAACUCUAUUGUAUUAAUUUCUGAGUUGGAUUUUAUCUGAAUAUUAUGGGCUGUUUUGAUUAUGAAUUAAUGUAUAUGAAAUCAGCCAUGAACUAAUUUCUUGGUGGCUUGAAUUGUUGAUGAACCCUAUGUUAUUAUCUAUCCAUUUCUUGCACUUUAUUUUAGUAAAA